CGCCCUCCCCGCUUCGCUCGGCCCGGUCCGGCCCCGCCGCCCCCGCUUCCCCCCGGCCUCGCCCGGCCCGGCCCGGUCCGGUCCGGCCCGAGCGCCGCGGCCCCCGCGCACCUGCGGAGGGGAGAGAGGGCUGAGCGCUGCGCUCAGGCCGCCAUGUCCCGGUGACGCCGCCGCCGCUUCCGGGACGCGAGUUCCGGCCUCCGCGCCGGGGCGGCUGGAGAAAUUGCGGAAUAAAACGGGUUAAAUAUUCCUGCCGGGCCGCGCUGAGGAUUUUAGUAAAAUCAUUCUGGAAAGGACAUUGAGAAGCGGAGAGCACUGCUGCAGUCCGGCAGGAAGGAAAAAAGGGAAAAAAAGAGCCACCUUGGCCGGUGUUUCCGCCCGGUUUCGAACCGGGGACCUUUCGCGUGUUAGGCGAACGUGAUAACCACUACACUACGGAAACGCCGCUGGGAGCGCCUCUGUCAAUUACAUUGGUAAUAUCAUUCUGCCCUGCCCAUCCUGCGGUCCCUCCCCGUCUGUCCCUGCUGUCCCGUUCUGUCCCCACUGUCCCGUUCUGUCUGUCCCCACUGUCCCCUCCUACCCCGCAUCGCAUCUGCCCCUCACGGACCCCACCAAACGCCCCCGGGACCCGCAGCCUCCCCCUGCCUCCUGUCCCCCCGCAGCGCCUGCAGGUCACCCCCAGUGCGGGUCUCUCCAGGUGUGCCAUCCACAGCUGGCACUCUCCUACACCAGGAGUCGGUAGGAACCAGAAACUUCAAGCAGAAGGGGAAUGUUUGGCAUUGCUGGCAGGGCAGGGCUGUGAUGAACCAGCGGACGGGAGAGCUGGGAGCUGGGCACGGAGCGUGCGACACCCGGCAGCGCUGCUCCGCAGGCCUCUGGAUCUGGAGAAUGGGGAAAUGACUUAUCCUCCUGGAUUUUCUAGUGCACCAGGAACUGAAAUAACAAAUCUUGGGAGUAGCUACAGAAGGGAAUGUGGUUUUGUCACUUUUUGCAGAGGGAAACAUGAGCCAAGCUCCAGCUGGUGGAAAGAUACACCCUAUAACCUUCUCCAAGGAGCUGAAGUUGCCUGGAUCGUGAACAGAUUUUUCUUAACACUUCCUGGAAAAGAGCCCAAGAUUACAGCUACCUGAAAGCAAGCAGAGAGAAGCCUGUGUCCAUAGCACACCAGUAAAAAAUACAUUUAGUACAAUUUAUUCCUUCAUAGUCUGUGAAUACAUCCUUCUGAAUAGAUAUAAAAUACUUUUAUAAGAGUCUCU
rnacentral:tRNA from 1 species